ACCUGUUUUCCUGGUUCAUACGGAAAGUAGAGGUUAUUGGCAGGGUCGAGACGGAGUCUUCGGCGAGCAGGGAGAAGAGAUCUGGCAACAGAUGACACCGUUCUCGAAGAAGAUGGAGAUUUCGAGCUAGUCUUAAUUUCCAGGUGCCGGUUGUUGCUGUUGCUGUUGCUGUUUUGAGUGUGGUUGAGAUUCUGCGUAGAAGAGGAAGACGAGGAGUUCGUUGUUCCACUCUGCCAAAAAGUACAGAGACUAAACAUUUUCUUAUCGCUGUGAUGCUUUCGCCGUUCAGCGACCGCCAUCGAUAUCACCUUACUAAAGGUCGCCAAAGACUGUUCCACCGUCCCUCUCUGUCUCGGAAAAAAAAUUAUUAUUAAAAAAAAAAAAA
rnacentral:misc_RNA from 1 species